AGAAAACUCAGAUGCAAGCUAUCAAAUACUGUGUGCUGGGCACUGUGCAUACUGCUCCAAGAUGUUAUUACAGGAUCUUUGAGGGAAUCUCUGCAGUGAUCUUUCGAACCUGGCUAUUGGCACUGCAGACACAUCUACAGUUAGUGUGUUCCUGGUGUAAAACUUGAAAAACUGGAGGGGCUGGAGGAGCACCAGCUUCUCACAGCCCCUUUGUGCACAUUGCUGCUUGGUGGGGGGACGGAGAAACCUCUGUGCUGAUUCACCUUGCAGCCUAGAACCCCAUUUCUCCUUCCAUCUCCCCUUUUCUCUGUACACAGAGGAUCAGACCCGUGAUUUAUGCUGGGGCAGUGUAUAUAAUAUUCUCACUUUCAUGUUAUAAAUGUUUAACAAAUCCGUAAGGUAUCAAAAGAGCUCUCGGGGGAGAUUUGCUAAGAAGAGCUGGUGGAUAAACCUUUCGGGCUUGGCUGGA